ensembl:lncRNA novel transcript
GAGGAAGCACGUGGAGAAGGCGGAGCCGCCCAGGUCCCCCCGGGCGUCGAUGAAUGUGGGGUACCAUUCCUUGAUGAUGUGGUCAUGUUUGUAGUCGGCCUUAUUGUCCUUUAGAUGUUCCACGGUGUUCCGCUCGCUCUUCUCAUAGGCCUCCCGGGGCUUCCGGACAGACACCUUGCAUUCUCGGACCUUGUUGACGAUGAAUUCUUGGAUGAGAAACCUGAUAUCUUCCAUGAGGCAGUCAUCAUAAAGAAGUCUGAAUAUCUUGGUUGAGAGCUAGACUUUGGAAACAGAGAGACCCUGUAUAAUAACAGACUAAGAAGUAAGGAAGACAAGCCCAGCCAGUCCCACAACUAUUUCAUUAAUACCAGGUAAAGCAACAGACCUGCCAGUGAAGCAUCUUGGAUCCUUUAGCUUUAGAAAAUCAGCUCUGUUACAUCUGCCGCCUCCUGUGAGCACAAGGCACAGAAAGUAGACCCUGUAACCCUCAGAGGGCCUGAAGGAAAGCGAUGCUGGUGUGACCUGCCCAAGAGGAUGGUGCCCAAGGCAGAGCAUUCUAGACCCUCAUAGGCAACAGAGCCAGGUAUUGCUAGCUUGUGUCAACUGAUUCUGAUGGUCAAAUAUUUUUAUAAAUACCUUCAGGAGAAUUUCAUAGUGAUCUUAAAAACUACAAAGAAAAAGAGUUCCCACGGAUUUAUAAGAAGGUUCGACUAUGCUUUUCCCGGAUAAAACGUGUCUCUUUCCCUUUCAUUGCCAUCUGCUGGAUGACAAUCCUUUAUUCUGAUACAGUCAUCUUUACAAAUGACUAACCAAAGGUCUGUUUUGAAAGAUCAGCAGAAAUAGGUACUGUGAUUAUAAUUUUAAAAAAUUACAGUGUUUUUUAAAUCAAUGAUCUGUUGUUGCUACUGCCCAAGAACUACUAAUCUUUGAAAAACUUGGGACUACUUAGUUCAAUUGAUAUUUCUGAGAGCUUCCUGUGCCAUAUAGGCAUUUUUUUCUCAUUUACAUCUCACUAUUCAUUUAUUAGAAAUUCACUUUUUUUCCUCUGCAUAAACAUGAAAUACACCUUUCAAUCCAUAUUGUGUAUCUUUUGCUUUUACGAAGGCAGUCGUCAGUGUGAGGAAAGACAGAUAAGCCAGACAGUUAUUUUUCAAAGAAAGAAGUGACAAUCUUUUGUUCUGGAAUGCUAUUUGCAUUUAUGAGAUUUUUUUAUGUGUCUAUCAGACCUAGUUAGCAGUACAGUGCUCAAUGUUUCAGAAUGUGCCUGCAUUUUCCAUCCUUGAUGACCUUUUGACAUGGCCUCUAUGUGAUUUAAAGGAAAGGCUCUCAAUCUCUCCAUCACCCCAGUGGCUGACAUUUAUAAAUAUAUGAAAAUAUAGAAAAGAUAAAAGUGAAAA